rnacentral:rRNA from 1 species
UACGUAGGGUGCAAGCGUUAAUCGGAAUUACUGGGCGUAAAGCGUGCGCAGGCGGCUUUGCAAGACAGAUGUGAAAUCCCCGGGCUCAACCUGGGAACUGCAUUUGUGACUGCAUCGCUGGAGUACGGUAGAGGGGGAUGGAAUUCCGCGUGUAGCAGUGAAAUGCGUAGAUAUGCGGAGGAACACCGAUGGCGAAGGCAAUCCCCUGGACCUGUACUGACGCUCAUGCACGAAAGCGUGGGGUGCAAACAGG